rnacentral:rRNA from 1 species
UACAGAGGAGCCAAGCGUUGUCCGGAUUGACUGGGUUUAAAGGGUGCGUAGGCGGGCAGGUAAGUCCGUGGUGAAAUCUCUGAGCUUAACUCAGAAACUGCCAUGGAUACUAUUUGUCUUGAAUAUUGUGGAGGUAAGCGGAAUAUGUCAUGUAGCGGUGAAAUGCUUAGAUAUGACAUAGAACACCAAUUGCGAAGGCAGCUUACUACACAGUUAUUGACGCUGAGGCACGAAAGCGUGGGGAUCAAACAGG